rnacentral:rRNA from 2 species
CCCUUUGGGUGUGACUGCGUACCUUUUGUAUAAUGGGUCAGCGACUUAUAUUCUGUAGCAAGGUUAACCGAAUAGGGGAGCCGGAGGGAAACCGAGUCUUAACCGGGCGUUAAGUUGCAGGGUAUAGACCCGAAACCCGGUGAUCUAGCCAUGGGCAGGUUGAAGGUUGGGUAACACUAACUGGAGGACCGAACCGACUAAUGUUGAAAAAUUAGCGGAUGACCUGUGGCUGGGGGUGAAAGGCCAAUCAAACCGGGAGAUAGCUGGUUCUCCCCGAAAGCUAUUUAGGUAGCGCCUCGUGAAUUCAUCUCCGGGGGUAGAGCACUGUUUCGGCUAGGGGGCCAUCCCGGCUUACCAACCCGAUGCAAACUGCGAAUACCGGAGAAUGUUAUCACGGGAGACACACGGCGGGUGCUAACGUCCGUCGUGAAGAGGGAAACAACCCAGACCGCCAGCUAAGGUCCCAAAGUCAUGGUUAAGUGGGAAACGAUGUGGGAAGGCCCAGACAGCCAGGAUGUUGGCUUAGAAGCAGCCAUCAUUUAAAGAAAGCGUAAUAGCUCACUGGUCGAGUCGGCCUGCGCGGAAGAUGUAACGGGGCUAAACCAUGCACCGAAGCUGCGGCAGCGACACU